AAAAGAAACAAUAAAAGUGACCUCAUCAUGCAGAUAAUGUAAUCUACACUGAGAUCUACACUGUGACGUUAGACAAAUACAAUGGAUAUCAUAGGGACAAAACAGGGAUAGGUGUUACUGGUUUAUAAUAGAACAAAAAGGAUCCUUCGGCUGAUUUAGAACAUUUAGCUUUUGUUAGGCAAAACCAAGAUUCCCACAUCCUGCCUGCUCCUCCUGCGAAAAAAUGAGUUUCUUCUAAGCAGGCAUACAGAGCAAAAUGUCAGGGUACUCCAUCACAAAGAGACCUGAUAACGGAUAUAUGUACAGAGUAC